UAGGGAAUAUUGGGCAAUGGGCGCAAGCCUGACCCAGCCAUGCCGCGUGGAGGAUGAAGGCCUUCGGGUCGUAAACUCCUUUUCUGAGGGAAGAAUAGCCUGUGCAGGAAAUGGUAUGGGUAUGACGGUACCUCAGGAAUAAGCAACGGCCAACUCCGUGCCAGCAGCCGCGGUAAUACGGAGGUUGCAAGCGUUGUUCGGAAUUACUGGGCGUAAAGGGAGCGCAGGCGGCCAAGUCAGUCUGAAGUGAAAUCCCGGGGCUUAACCUCGGAAGUGCUUUGGAUACUACUUGGCUAGAGUACGUGAGAGGUGAGCGGAAUUCCAGGUGUAGCGGUGAAAUGCGUAGAUAUCUGGAGGAACACCCGUGGCGAAAGCGGCUCACUGGCGCGUAACUGACGCUGAGGCUCGAAAGCGUGGGGAGCAAACGG
rnacentral:rRNA from 1 species